rnacentral:rRNA from 1 species
CUCUUUCUUGAUUUUGUGGGUGGUGGUGCAUGGCCGUUCCUAGUUGGUGGAGUGAUUUGUCUGCUUAAUUGCGAUAACGAACGAGACCUUAACCUACUAAAUAGUGCUGCUAGCUUUUGCUGGUAUAGUCACUUCUUAGAGGGACUAUCGAUUUCAAGUCGAUGGAAGUUUGAGGCAAUAACAGGUCUGUGAUGCCCUUAGACGUUCUGGGCCGCACGCGCGCUACACUGACGGAGCCAGCGAGUAUUAACCUUGGCCGAGAGGUCUGGGAAAUCUUGUGAAACUCCGUCGUGCUGGGGAUAGAGCAUUGUAAUUAUUGCUCCUCAACGAGGAAUUCCUAGUAAGCGCAAGUCAUCAGCUUGCGUUGAUUACGUCCCUGCCCUUUGUACACACCGCCCGUCGCUACUACCGAUUGAAUGGCUUAGUGAGGCCUCCGGAUUGGUUUAAAGAAGGGGGCAACUCCAUCUUGGAACCGAAAAGCUGGUCAAACUUGGUCAUUUAGAGGAAGUAAAAGUCGUAACAAGGUUU